AGAGUUUGAUCCUGGCUCAGAUUGAACGCUGGCGGAACGCUUUACACAUGCAAGUCGAACGGUAACGCGGAGAGAAGCUUGCUUCUCUCCGGCGACGAGUGGCGAACGGGUGAGUAAUACAUCGGAACGUGUCCGCUCGUGGGGGACAACCAGCCGAAAGGUUGGCUAAUACCGCAUGAGUUCUACGGAAGAAAGAGGGGGACCCGCAAGGGCCUCUCGCGAGCGGAGCGGCCGAUGACUGAUUAGCCGGUUGGUGAGGUAACGGCUCACCAAAGCAACGAUCAGUAGCUGGUCUGAGAGGACGACCAGCCACACUGGGACUGAGACACGGCCCAGACUCCUACGGGAGGCAGCAGUGGGGAAUUUUGGACAAUGGGCGCAAGCCUGAUCCAGCUAUUCCGCGUGUGGGAUGAAGGCCCUCGGGUUGUAAACCACUUUUGUAGAGAACGAAAAGACACCUUUUAAAAAAGGGUGUUGCUGACGGUACUCUAAGAAUAAGCACCGGCUAACUACGUGCCAGCAGCCGCGGUAAUACGUAGGGUGCGAGCGUUAAUCGGAAUUACUGGGCGUAAAGGGUGCGCAGGCGGUUGAGUAAGACAGAUGUGAAAUCCCCGAGCUUAACUCGGGAAUGGCAUAUGUGACUGCUCGACUAGAGUGUGUCAGAGGGAGGUGGAAUUCCACGUGUAGCAGUGAAAUGCGUAGAUAUGUGGAAGAACACCGAUGGCGAAGGCAGCCUCCUGGGACAUAACUGACGCUCAGGCACGAAAGCGUGGGGAGCAAACAGGAUUAGAUACCCUGGUAGUCCACGCCCUAAACGAUGUUAACUAGUUGUUGGGAAGUAA
rnacentral:rRNA from 1 species